rnacentral:rRNA from 1 species
UACGGAGGGUGCAAGCGUUAUCCGGAUUUACUGGGUUUAAAGGGUGCGUAGGCGGGCAGGUAAGUCAGAGGUGAAAUCUCCGAGCUUAACUCGGAAACUGCCUUUGAUACUAUCUGUCUUGAAUAUUGUGGAGGUAAGCGGAAUAUGUCAUGUAGCGGUGAAAUGCUUAGAUAUGACAUAGAACACCUAUUGCGAAGGCAGCUUACUACGCAUAUAUUGACGCUGAGGCACGAAAGCGUGGGGAUCAAACAGG